AUUGAACGCUGGCGGCAGGCCUAACACAUGCAAGUCGAGCGGAUGAAGGGAGCUUGCUCCUGGAUUCAGCGGCGGACGGGUGAGUAAUGCCUAGGAAUCUGCCUGGUAGUGGGGGAUAACGUCCGGAAACGGGCGCUAAUACCGCAUACGUCCUGAGGGAGAAAGUGGGGGAUCUUCGGACCUCACGCGAUCAGAUGAGCCUAGGUCGGAUUAGCUAGUUGGUGGGGUAAAGGCCUACCAAGGCGACGAUCCGUAACUGGUCUGAGAGGAUGAUCAGUCACACUGGAACUGAGACACGGUCCAGACUCCUACGGGAGGCAGCAGUGGGGAAUAUUGGACAAUGGGCGAAAGCCUGAUCCAGCCAUGCCGCGUGUGUGAAGAAGGUCUUCGGAUUGUAAAGCACUUUAAGUUGGGAGGAAGGGCAGUAAGUUAAUACCUUGCUGUUUUGACGUUACCAACAGAAUAAGCACCGGCUAACUUCGUG
rnacentral:rRNA from 1 species